AGAUUGAACGCUGGCGGCAGGCCUAACACAUGCAAGUCGAGCGGUAGAGAGGUGCUUGCAUCUCUUGAGAGCGGCGGACGGGUGAGUAAUGCCUAGGAAUCUGCCUAGUGGUGGGGGAUAACGUUCGGAAACGGACGCUAAUACCGCAUACGUCCUACGGGAGAAAGCGGGGGACCUUCGGGCCUCGCGCCAUUAGAUGAGCCUAGGUCGGAUUAGCUAGUUGGUGAGGUAAUGGCUCACCAAGGCGACGAUCCGUAACUGGUCUGAGAGGAUGAUCAGUCACACUGGAACUGAGACACGGGUCCAGACUCCGUACGGGAGGCAGCAGUGGGGAAUA
rnacentral:rRNA from 1 species